rnacentral:rRNA from 1 species
UACGGAGGGUGCGAGCGUUGUCCGGAAUCAUUGGGCGUAAAGGGCGCGUAGGUGGCCCGGUAAGCGUGCGGUGAAAGCUCGGGGCUCAACCCCGAGUCGGCCGUGCGAACUGCUGGGCUUGAGCACUGUAGAGGCAGGCGGAAUUCCGGGUGUAGCGGUGGAAUGCGUAGAGAUCCGGAAGAACACCGGUGGCGAAGGCGGCCUGCUGGGCAGUAGCUGACACUGAGGCGCGACAGCGUGGGGGAGCAAACAGG